UCAAGAUCACAGAUGGGAGGCAGUGAGGAGCAGGACUGGGCUGCCAGAAAAGCUGGACUCUAAUGCCUUCCAGUCCUUGGUAGUAACCCUGGGAGGAGCUGGGGGCUGAGGCCCCGAGGGUCUCAUCAGUCGAAGCCGGGUGCCAGGCCUUUGCAUCCCCUUUGGAACAGUUGUCAGAUCCAGCUGUCCCCAGGCAGAGACAGGAACCUUGGGUGAGAUGAGUCCUGGGGGUCAGAGCCAUUCUGGCUCAGCUGCCUAUGCUCCUGGAGGACAGGGGGACAAGUGUGUACAUCCAGAGGGGCCAUCUGGCCCACCCCACACACCCAUCCCACAGGAGUCACCCAAGUGUGAUUAGUGUCUUACUGUCAGUCACCUCUGUCACCAUCACGUCAGGAACGGUGGCAGCAGGCAAGCUCCCGGCCAGAGCCGUCUCAGCUCAUGGCAGCGGGAAACAGAGUCAUCUCACCUUAGAACGAGACAUGACCUAACACACCACCGUCAUCACUGACACAGGAGGAGAAAUUUGGAGGAAAUGAAAUUCCCGCUGAACCUAGCAAGCAUUUUCAGCUGCUUAUCUGAUACUCUGAUGUGCAGCUUAAUACAAGCGAUUGGGUUGAAAUGGCACAUUUUCCCUGAAUAUCACCACCUGAGCUGUGGAUUUGGGAACAAUUUUGGAAAUGAUUGAAUUCUCAUGUUUGAAAAUAGGAGUUGUACAAAAUUGUCACAAGUUAAAAUACAGUUAAGUAUUUUCAUCGGGACGUUGUAAACUCUAGACAGACUUCAGACUUGUAUCUGUUUCUGAAUUGACAUCUGACCGGUAUUGAGGAGAUAAAAAUAAAUAAAUAAUGGAAGAAAAUACAAUAAUGAGAUCAUGAUGAUGGACUCUGCAAAGAGCUCCAUCCUGCAAAGCACCUGUUGUUCGUGAUGAUACCUUCGGCAGAGGCCCCUCUGUCCAUGGGAUUCCCCAGGCAAGAAUGCUGGAAAGGGUUGCCUUUUCCUUCAUCAUGGGAUCUUCACAACCAAGGAUCAAACCCAGGUCUCUCUCAUGCAGGUGGAUUCUUUACCACUGAGCCACCAGGGAAGCCUAUUAAUACUUAUGUAACUAUUAAUAAAACCUUGUAGUUCAUGAUUGUCAUUCAACCUGUUCAAUGGGAAAAGGAUGUCAAACUCAGGUAUGCGGUCCAAAUGAUUUCAGGACAUAUAGGAGAUGAAUAAGAAUGUCUAGGAUGAGAAGAUGUGGCUGGUGCUGAUCAUGUCCCCACAGAAAACCACCUUGAAACAUGAAAGCCCCUACAUUUUCUGACUUCAGUUGGCAUGACAAGCCAGUUAGGAUCAACCUGGAUUUUCAAAGUUGCGAAGGACAGUGUACAAAAACAAUGCUGAUGAGCUGGUGUGUUUUGACUGGUUUGACCAUGGUCUUAAGGCUCCAAAUUUAAUUUGUCUUAGAAGACAUUGUGUUCCAUCAACAGCUCAAAGUUCUGAUCUUAAGAGAAGGGUGGAGUGAAGCAGUCACAAAAAUAAUGAGAGUGUGAAGAUUCUGCCUUUGACAGCAAACAGAAGAAGCUAUUUCAGAAAAAAAUACAGACAUCAGAUGAGCUCUUCAGCUCCCAGCAGAGGCCUGGGCGAGGGCACUGGUGCCCUGCCCUGGCCUGUGUUCCUUGCUGAACUUACACAGCUUCUGGAAAGCCAAGCUGCUGAUGCCUAGGACUGUAAGACUGUAAGGGAUGCAGAGGGGAAGACCAAGGAUGAAGGACAUGCUGAUCGGGACAUCUCUGAGCUGGAAGCCCCACACAGCUGGAAGUGUGUGCUCUUUGCAGAGAUCCUCAUUGUUCUGAAGACAGAAGAGGCGAGUUCAAGGAUUCCACAUCUUCUGUCGUCUGUUCAGCUGUGGAAGAAGAAUACAAAUGGUAAAUUGAAGAUUAAAAAAGUUUUUUUGGUCAAUAAAUAUUCGACAAUUGAUGAUGGCUAUGACUUUGAAAGUUUUAAGUUUGUGAUGGAAGAAUAUGGCUGCUCUCGAUUUUAGCACUGUUUUCCCUGGGUAAUCACAAGAGGGCAUUAUCAGUGUUUUAAUGACAGCAUUUUUUUUUUUUUUUUUGUAACAAUUUAAACACAAACAGUCCCUUUCGACCCUCUGGGAUCUACCACACAGCCGCAACCAAGCUUCUGUUCCCUCACGUGCUCACGAGCCCCCACAGCGCCUCCCACAGGGUGAUGGUAAAAGUACGCUGGUCACAUCAAACCCACGGCUGCUUCUGCGGGUUACGCAGA